CCCUGCGCCUUCUGAACUGGCCGCCGGCCUGCGAGUCCCGGCGGCGCAACGCUUGCGGCGCGCGGUCGGGGAGCCGUUUGGUCUCCGUGGCCGUUGGCGCAGUUAGGCUCCUGCCGAGGCGCGGCUCGGAGUGAACGAACUUGGGCGGGUGGAGUUACAGAGUGGCAGAGGCAGAGAGAGCAAGCGAGAGAUCCUACAUCCACUGGUUCACUCUCCAAGUGGCAGCAAUGGCCAGAGCUGCGCUGAUGAGAAGCCAGGAGCUACUUCCAGGUCUCUGAGGCAGGUGCAGGGGCCCAAGGACUUGGGCCAUCUUCUACUGCUUUCCCAGCCACAGCAGAGAGCUGGAUCCGAAGCUGCAGCCGGGACUCAAACCAGAGCUGCAGGCGGCCGCUUUACCUGCUGUACCACAUCGCUGGCCCCUCAUUUAUUUUCAAGACUUACAAAGCCCAUCAAAAUUGUAUCUGUCCUUCAGAUCACAGUUCACUUAUGUGGAGCCCUGAGGAUUUUCCCAGACCUUUAGCUGUUGCCUUUUUACGUUGCAACAGGGUCUUGUAUACCUAACUCUUAAGAUAGCCUAUUGGGUUUUUUUUUUUUUUUAAUUUAUUAUCUGAAAGACACAGAGAGAGGUCUUCCAUCUGCUAGUUCAUUCUCCAAAUGGCCACAAUGGCCAGAGCUGAGCUGAGCUGAAGCCAGGAGCCAGGAGCUUCCUCCAGGUCUCCCACUUGGGUGCAGCACUUGGGUGCUGCUUUCCCAGGUGCAUUAGCAAGAAGCAGGACCAGAAUCAGAGCAGCUGGGACUCAAACUAGCACCCAUAUUGGAUACUGGUGCUGCAGACCCUCUGGGCCACAGUGCUGACACCAAGAUACCCUGUUUUAAAAACCAGGAGCAAAGCCGGCGCCGUGGCUCAAUAGGCUAAUCCUCCACCUUGCGGCGCCGGCACACCGGGUUCUAGUCCCGGUCAGGGCGCCGGAUUCUGUCCCGGUUGCCCCUCUUCCAGGCCAGCUCUCUGCUGUGGCCAGGGAGUGCAGUGGAGGAUGGCCCAGGUGCUUGGGCCCUGCACCCCAUGGGAGACCAGGAAAAGCACCUGGAUCCUGGCUCCUGCCAGGAUCAGCGCGGUGCGCCGGCUGCAGCGGCGGCCAUUGGAGGGUGAACCAACGGCAAAGGAAGACCUUUCUCUCUCUGUCUCUCUCUCUGUCCACUCUGCCUGUCAAAAAUUAAAAAAAUAAAUAAAUAAAAACCAGGAGCAUGCAAGGACAGAAGCUGUGCACUUUGCAUCCUAAACCCAGUUCCUGUCCAGUCCCCCUGCACAUAAGGUUUUUGAGAUUGCUGAAUGGGUGGUCCUUGGGAAAUAAGGGCCCAGCGUAGCUUUCAGGAGAGAAACUGGCAAAUCUAAGGCAGCCCAACUGCCCUGUUUCUUAAGCUUGGAGGACUGCCUGAGAUGGAGAAGCCCUGCAUUCCUGUUGCCCUUGACCUCACGCGCUUUGCCAGGGCUGUCUCUUCCUUUCCUAACUGUGGAUUUUUUGCUCCUGAAGCCUCGUUCUCUCCAAAGUUAUUUCUCCCCACCCCCUGACAAAAAGAAAAAAAAAAAAAAACUUACUGCUGAUGGAACUUUAACAUACAUUGUCAUUUUGGAAUCCAAUUGCAAGCUUUUCCUCAGCACUGUAUAACAUCCAAUUUGAGCACAGCUACAGGUAUACAUUGACAAAACAGUACAUUAAAGAAUUUUUCGUCUAAAUUAGGAUAAAAUGGAAGUAGACAAAAGAAAUCUCCAAGAAGGAGCUGCAACACUUGCUACAGAUGAGAAAAAUAACCUUAAAAACUGCUGCAAUGGAUUGUGAAAGCAAAUAACAAGCGAAACAAUUAUAUAAUUCUGUGUAAAAUCUGUUCUGUUUGAUUGAAAUUUUCUCCAAGAUUCAGAAUGUAAAGACAGUGCCUGACCUUCAGAAAGCUGGACGAUAACGAUAAAAAAAAAAAAAAAAAAAAAACACCACUAAGGUCUUAAAAACCUAGGUUGUAUGUUACCUUUAGCAUCCUCUGACCCUCUUUUAGUAGGUUCAGGAUCAAAGAUAAGAAAGAAAGGUGAAUGAAUUAGUAACUUGCUUAUUGAGGAAUCUGCCUUGAAACGUGAGGUGGCCAAUCCUGAGAUAUUUUCAUUUUGCUCCAAUUAAAAAAAAAAAAGAACCAUGAGCUUAAGACUUUGAAUUAUUUUUGCUUUAGGAGAAACACUAGAAUGUUCUGUGAAAUGACUGGGCAUGAUCAGUAGCACUGGUUAUUUGUUAAGUCUGACAAACUACUUGUUACUUUUGUUUUCUCUGUUUUCAUAUGUAAGGUGAAUUUGAUUGAAUAUAUUAUUCUAUGCACUCCCAACCGUGAGUUUAGUAGGCCUUUUACAAACAUUCCAAAUAUUUCUUGUGAUGCUGGAAAUCUCUUACGUUCUCGAAGUCUGCAUUCAGCCUAUGGAUCACACCAAGAGAACAUGCAGCUCUUAAUACCCAUUGGAUAAGGAACCCCAGACUUGCUGAGCCUAGCUAGUGUUCACCGCAACAGUAGGCAGAAGUCAAUAGAUGCUAUUAUUGAACUUUAUCCUUUUUUUAAUAGCUCAAAUAAAACUGCUGAGUUAAAAGAAAAAACUGAAGAAGUAAAACUUAGCGUUUUGAAAGAAUGUCUGUCAGUUCAUUGACCGUGGAUAACAUCCUGGCUCAUUGUAGAGGAAUUGCUCAGAUAGUGACUGUAGGUUCUUUGUUAAGGAAAAUGCUAGCUAGCUCAUCACCGCACCAUGACAACAGCCAAAGAAGGAAAACAUAAAUUAUAUUAUGAUUUAACUUAGGUGAGAUAAAGAAAUUACACCCCACCCAGGAGCCAGAAAUACCUUAGAAAAUCAGAAACAGCUCCUGAGUCCCAUGACCAUUUGGAGCCUCUUGGAUAUUCUGGCCUCAGACCUGUGGCCCAUUUUCUGAGGGCUUGAUUGGGUUGCCUGCUGUUUAGGGCAGGCAGCAGCCAAGAACUCCCAUUGCCACCCUCAAAGGGGAUUCAGAAAUUAACUCAGCAUAGGAGACAGACCUAGCGAAAUUGACAGUCUUUCAUAAUUUACCCCCAAAUUUCCCUUUAGUUUAAAUCCCAUUACCUCUGUAAACUAUUAGUGUGCUGGGUGAUUAGGGAUCUAAAAAUAAUAUGAGUUGAUACCUGCCUUCUCAGAGCUUGCAAUCAAGUUGAGGAAACAAGACACAUAACCAAGAAAUAGAGUACAAGAAGCAUAUGUGUAAUAACACAUGUGCAAGGGUAAGUGCAAGCACUUAGAAUGUGCCAGUCACUCUGCCAACCACUGAAAGGGUCGCGUCAGUAGAUUCGGACAGAAGCCCUCUGCCAGAGGCAUUAUAAUUAUUAUUACCCUGUGCAUUGUACACUUCAGGAAGUAAUCUUGGUUUCUGCUCUAGAGCCCCAUGGCGUAAACUGGAGAGCCAGGGUGGGCAACCAAGCCAUAAUUAUUCAUUAGAAGAAUGAUGGAUAAAUUAUUGUAUGGUUUACUACCAUGGACAUAGAGAUAUAAUUUAUAGUUACUUAUCAUGAUGCUAAUUUAUCCACUAACUGUAAUUCUGGGGGAAGAGGUGAGUAGGUUAUCAUUUUCACCAUUUUCAUUUGUAUAAAGAAAUUUAAUUCACUUCUACAGGAAAUUAUAAUACUGUGUUGGGUUUUUAUAUUUAGUUUCUGUAGAAAAAGCCCAGAAAUUAUGUGAAAAGUGUCACCAUUUUCUAGUGGAUAGAUAAAUUUGAGCAACUAACAAUGUAAAUAAUGACUUUUUCAUACCCAAACUCGAAGUCCAGUGUUGUUACUAUUUCAUCGGAUACGUAGAACUUUCAUUUGCUGCCUCAGCUCCUGUAAAAGUCAAACAAAACCUUCAUGCACUCCUUACCGUGAGCCACAUUUCCAAAGGAUCGGAGCUAUAAAGGCGUAGCAUGAAAAUUGAGACGAUGUAUUCAACGUGAAAUUCAGCUGUUCAAAAAACAAAUCAACAUGUUCUUUUGAAAUUUUGUUAAAUCCAGGGUUCCUUGUUCCUGAUCAUACCACUUUCCUUGUUUGACAGAGGUCACCAAGAAAGAGCAUAUGGCUGGGUUUCAGAUGGCAGGCCCUUUAAUUCAACCCACUUUGGUUAGCUAUGGUGAAAGGCAGCCACAGUUCCAGGAGGAUGCGCCUGCAGGAAAUGCCUCGAGCUCUAUUAGUUCAGAAUGUAGUCAAGUGUAACCACAGUGGUUCCUCUUUCAGGAGCUGUCAUGCACAUCUGCUUUGGGGUUCCAGCUGCCAGUGUUUGGCCUGUAUUAAAAAAAAAAAAAAACUAAAA